rnacentral:rRNA from 1 species
AUAAUCUACCCUAGUGUCUGGGACAACAUCGGGAAACUGGUGCUAAUACCGGAUAAUCUUAUUUGGAUGCGAAUCUGGAUAAGGAAAGAUGGGGACCUUUCGGGGCCUAUUGCACAAGGAUGAGUCUGCGUACCAUUAGCUAGUUGGUGGGGUAAAGGCCUACCAAGGCGACGAUGGUUAGCGGGUCUGAGAGGAUGAUCCGCCACACUGGCACUGGAACACGGGCCAG